GAUGAACGCUGGCGGCGUGCCUAAUACAUGCAAGUCGAGCGCACGGACGAGAAGCUUGCUUCUCUGAUGUUAGCGGCAGACGGGUGAGUAACACGUGUAUAACCUACCUAUCAUACUGGGAUAACUUCGGGAAACCGGAGCUAAUACCGGAUAAUCUUUUGAACCGCAUGGUUCAAGAGUGAAAGACGGUCUUGCUGUCACUUAUAGAUGGAUCCGCGCUGCAUUAGCUAGUUGGUAAGGUAACGGCUUACCAAGGCAACGAUGCAUAGCCGACCUGAGAGGGUGAUCGGCCACCCUGGAACAGAGACACGGUCCAGACGCCUACGGGAGGCAGCAGUGGGGAAGCUUCCGAAAUGGGCGAAAGCCUGACGGAGCAACGCCGCGUGAGUGAUGAAGGUCUUCGGAUCGUAAAACUCUGUUAUUAGGGAAGAACAUAUGUGUAAGUAACUGUGCACAUCGUGACGGUAGCGAAUCAGAAAGCCACGGCUAACUACGUG
rnacentral:rRNA from 1 species